rnacentral:rRNA from 1 species
GACGAACGCUGGCGGCGUGCUUAACACAUGCAAGUCGAACGGAAAGGCCCUGCUUUUGUGGGGUGCUCGAGUGGCGAACGGGUGAGUAACACGUGAGUAACCUGCCCUUGACUUUGGGAUAACUUCAGGAAACUGGGGCUAAUACCGGAUAGGAGCUCCUGCUGCAUGGUGGGGGUUGGAAAGUUUCGGCGGUUGGGGAUGGACUCGCGGCUUAUCAGCUUGUUGGUGGGGUAGUGGCUUACCAAGGCUUUGACGGGUAGCCGGCCUGGGAGGGUGACCGGCCACGUUGGGACUGGGAUACGGCCCAGACUCCUACGGGAGGCAGCAGUGGGGAAUAUUGCACAAUGGGCGGAAGCCUGAUGCAGCCACGCCGCGUGCCGGAUGUCGGCCUGCGGGUUGUAAUCCGCUUUCGCCUGUGACGAAGCGUGAGUGACGGUAAUGGGUGAAGAAGCACCGGCUAACUACGUG